AGCAAACGCUGGCGGCGUGCCUAAUACAUGCAAGUCGAACGGGGAAAGUAGCAAUACGAGUACUAGUGGCGCACGGGUGAGGAACACGUGGGUAAUCUGCCCUCGAGCGGGGGAUAACUAGUCGAAAGAUUAGCUAAUACCGCAUAAGACCACAAUGUCUGAGGACAAAGGGGUCAAAGUCGCAAGACACUUGAAGAUGAGCCCGCGUAAGAUUAGCUAGUUGGUGAGGUAAUGGCUCACCAAGGCGAUGAUCUUUAGCUGGUCUGAGAGGAUGAUCAGCCACACUGGAACUGAGACACGGUCCAGACUCCUACGGGAGGCAGCAGUAGGGAAUAUUGCGCAAUGGGGGAAACCCUGACGCAGCGACGCCGCGUGAGUGAUGAAGGCCUUCGGGUCGUAAAGCUCUGUUAUAUGGGAAUAAGAUCUGAAUGUACCAUGUGAGAAAGGAUCGGCUAACUUCGUGCCAGCAGCCGCCGCAG
rnacentral:rRNA from 1 species